UACAGAGGUGACUAACGUUGUCCGGAAUUAUUGGGCGUAAAGGGCGCGUAGGUGGUCGAGUAAGUCAGGUGUGAAAGCUCUGGGCUUAACCCAGGAAUUGCGUCUGAUACUGCUCGGCUUGAGUACGGUAGAGGAGGGUGGAAUUCCCAGUGUAGCGGUGAAAUGCGUAGAUAUUGGGAGGAACACCGGUGGCGAAGGCGGCCCUCUGGACCGAAACUGACACUGAAGCGCGAAAGCUAGGGGAGCAAACGGG
rnacentral:rRNA from 1 species